rnacentral:rRNA from 1 species
CCUACGGGAGGCUGCAGUGGGGAAUAUUGGACAAUGGGCGAAAGCCUGAUCCAGCCAUGCCGCGUGUGUGAAGAAGGCCUUCGGGUUGUAAAGCACUUUCAGUGGGGAAGAAAGCCUUGGGGCUAAUACCCUCGAGGAAGGACAUCACCCACAGAAGAAGCACCGGCUAACUCCGUGCCAGCAGCCGCGGUAAUACGGAGGGUGCGAGUGUUAAUCGGAAUUACUGGGCGUAAAGCGCGCGUAGGCGGUCUGAUAAGCCGGUUGUGAAAGCCCCGGGCUCAACCUGGGAACGGCAUCCGGAACUGUCAGGCUAGAGUGCAGGAGAGGAAGGUAGAAUUCCCGGUGUAGCGGUGAAAUGCGUAGAGAUCGGGAGGAAUACCAGUGGCGAAGGCGGCCUUCUGGACUGACACUGACGCUGAGGUGCGAAAGCGUGGGUAGCAAACAGGAUUAGAUACCCCGGUAGUC